AGAAACCGUGCUGAUUAUUUAUCCGGAGUGCAGACGGCAUCCGCUCAUCCUCUCAUUCACUCUCGGGUCACAGAGAGAUCCAAGAUAUAUCUCCUGGUCACACAGACGAUCAUCCCUCUCCGGGAAGGAGACUGUAGGUGCUGUUUGAGGAUGUCCAUUCUGAGUGUAUCUACCCCAGGGUUAUAGCCAAGUCCUGCUGGCAGGAAGCCAUUUCUUCUCUUUAAGGUGAUUUUGUAUAUUCUCCACGGAUACAUACUUGCUAAAAUAGAAAUAUUGCACUUCGAAGAAAAACUUUUCUCCUCUUUAAAUUUCGGGAAAAUGUAAUCAUUUCCUCUAGAUGCCACAGCUUCAUCUUCCUCACCACCACUUCCUCAGCUCCCAUGGCCAGCACUAAUGUGAGUGUUCCUAGGGGCUCUGCCCUGGGCACCCCCAGCCUCUUUUUUUCCUCCCUUCCCCUCACCUCAGGCAGCCUUGUAGCUUUAACACUGUGUCUACCUUGAUGGUUCCCACAUUUGACCUCUAUUCCAGACAUUCCCAAAUCAGAAUGUCCCAUCUACCUACUCGGUAUCACCACAUGGAUAUCUCAGCACUGGGGCAGCUAGAACUCCCAGGCCAACAGCCCCCAGCUGAAGCA